UCCCUCUUAGCUCAGUGGUAGAGCGCAUCACUCGUAUUUGAUGUGCGACAUGAUGAGGUCAGUCGUUCAAUCCGGCUAGCGGGAA